AACUGCGAAUGGCUCAUUAUAUAAGUUAUCGUUUAUUUGAUAGUGCCUUACUACUUGGAUAACCGUGGUAAUUCUAGAGCUAAUACAUGCUAUAAGCCCCGACUUCGGAAGGGGCGUAUUUAUUAGAUUAAAAGCCAAUGCCCUCUGGGCUCACUGGUGAAUCAUGAUAACUUCACGAAUCGCACGGCCUUGCGCCGGCGAUGGCUCAUUCAAAUUUCUUCCCUAUCAACUUUCGAUGUUUGGGUAGUGGCCAAACAUGGUUGCAACGGGUAACGGAGGGUUAGGGCUCGACCCCGGAGAAGGAGCCUGAGAAACGGCUACUACAUCCAAGGAAGGCAGCAGGCGCGCAAAUUACCCAAUCCCGACUCGGGGAGGUAGUGACAAUAAAUACUGAUACAGGGCUCUUUCGGGUCUUGUAAUCGGAAUGAGUACAAUUUAAAUCUCUUAACGAGGAACAAUUGGAGGGCAAGUCUGGUGCCAGCAGCCGCGGUAAUUCCAGCUCCAAUAGCGUAUAUUAAAGUUGUUGUGGUUAAAAAGCUCGUAGUUGAACCUUGGGCCUGGCUGGCCGGUCCGCCUCACCGCGUGUACUGGUCCGGCCGGGCCUUUCCCUCUGUGGAACCUCAUGCCCUUCACUGGGUGUGCUGGGGAAACAGGACUUUUACUUUGAAAAAAUUAGAGUGCUUCAGGCAGGCCUAUGCUCGAAUACAUUAGCAUGGAAUAAUGAAAUAGGACGUGCGGUUCUAUUUUGUUGGUUUCUAGGACCGCCGUAAUGAUUAAUAGGGACAGUCGGGGGCAUCAGUAUUCAAUUGUCAGAGGUGAAAUUCUUGGAUCUAUUGAAGACUAACUACUGCGAAAGCAUUUGCCAAGGAUGUUUUCAUUAAUCAGGAACGAAAGUUANGGGAUCGAAAACGAUCAGAUACCGUUGUAGUCUNACCAUUAAACUAUNCCNNNCUAG
rnacentral:rRNA from 1 species